rnacentral:lncRNA from 1 species
GGCCCUUGGAGGAGUUGAUUCACUGAACACUCACAAUGAGGGAGGGAGCUCUUUCCCAAGAGACCGUGUGGGAGCCAGGGCUGAGGAAGUUGGGACUCAACUCAAGGUCCUGCUGAAGAUAUCAAAAAAUAACCUAUUUACAAACACGAUUUUUAAAAUGGCAAUCCAACUCAACACCCAAAGA